rnacentral:rRNA from 1 species
GAUGAACGCUGGCGGCAUGCCUUACACAUGCAAGUCGAACGGUAACAGGUCUUUCAGGAUGCUGACGAGUGGCGAACGGGUGAGUAAUACAUCGGAACGUGCCUGGUAGUGGGGGAUAACUACUCGAAAGAGUGGCUAAUACCGCAUGAGAUCUAUGGAUGAAAGCAGGGGACCUUCGGGCCUUGUGCUACUAGAGCGGCCGAUGGCAGAUUAGGUAGUUGGUGGGAUAAAAGCUUACCAAGCCUACGAUCUGUAGCUGGUCUGAGAGGACGAUCAGCCACACUGGGACUGAGACACGGCCCAGACUCCUACGGGAGGCAGCAGUGGGGAAUUUUGGACAAUGGGCGCAAGCCUGAUCCAGCAAUGCCGCGUGCAGGAUGAAGGCCUUCGGGUUGUAAACUGCUUUUGUACGGAACGAAAAGUCUUGGGUUAAUACCCUGGGAUCAUGACGGUACCGUAAGAAUAAGCACCGGCUAACUACGUGCCAGCAGCCGCCGUAA